UUGAACGCUGGCGGCAUGCUUUACCCCUGCAAGUCGAACGGUAACAGGCCGCAUGGUGCUGACGAGUGGCGAACGGGUGAGUAAUGCAUCGGAACGUGCCCAGUCGUGGGGGAUAACUACUCGAAAGAGUAGCUAAUACCGCAUACGAUCUAUGGAUGAAAGCGGGGGACCGUAAGGCCUCGCGCGAUUGGAGCGGCCGAUGUCAGGUUAGGUAGUUGGUGGGGUAAAGGCUCACCAAGCCAACGAUCUGUAGCUGGUCUGAGAGGACGACCAGCCACACUGGAACUGAGACACGGCCCAGACUCCUACGGGAGGCAGCAGUGGGGAAUUUUGGACAAUGGGCGCAAGCCUGAUCCAGCAAUGCCGCGUGCAGGAAGAAGGCCUUCGGGUUGUAAACUGCUUUUGUACGGAACGAAACGGCUCUGGUUAAUACCCGGGGCUAAUGACGGUACCGUAAGAAUAAGCACCGGCUAACUACGUG
rnacentral:rRNA from 1 species